GAUGAAGAACGCAGCGAAAUGCGAUAAGUAAUGUGAAUUGCAGAAUUCAGUGAAUCAUCGAAUCUUUGAACGCACCUUGCACUCCUUGGUAUUCCGAGGAGUACGCCUGUUCGAGUGUUAUGAAGCUCUCAAAACGCAAUUGGCUCAAAACCUGAUUGUUGUUUUGGAUUUGAACUUUGCCGUGUUAUAACGGCUGGUUUUAAAAGUAUUAGCUGGUACUAGAACGAAUUGGUUCUACUCAACGUGAUAAUUAUCUGAUCGUUGAGGACAUUCCUUUCACGAGGAAUGGCCAUAGUAAAUUCAAUGGACUGCUUCUAAUCUGGCUUUAAUUCUUUAUUGGAUUAACCACUUUUCAAAUCUGACCUCGAAUCAGGUGGGACUACCCGCUGAACUUAAGCAUAUCAAUAAGCGGAGGA
rnacentral:misc_RNA from 1 species